rnacentral:rRNA from 1 species
AUUGAACGCUGGCGGCAGGCCUAACACAUGCAAGUCGAACGAGUGGCGGACGGGUGAGUAAUGUCUGGGAAACUGCCUGAUGGAGGGGGAUAACUACUGGAAACGGUAGCUAAUACCGCAUACCAUCGGAUGUGCCCAGAUGGUAUUAGCGAGUAGGUGGGGUAACGGCUCACCUAGGCGACGAUCCCUAGCUGGUCUGAGAGGAUGACACGCCACACUGGAACUGAGACACGGUCCUGACUCCUACGGUGGGCAUCAGUGGGGAAUAUUGGCCAAUGGGCGCAAGCCUGAUGCAGCCAUGCCGGUUGUAGUAAGAAGGCCGUCGGGUUGUAAAGUAGUUUCAGCGGGGAGGCGUUACCCGCAGAAGAAGCACCGGCUAACUCCGUGCCAGCAGCCGCGGUAAUAC